CACGCUGAAACACCGGUUGCCGAACGAUCCCUUAAGUUAAGCAAGGUCGAGCCUGGUAAGUAUCUAAAUGGGUGACCGCCUGGGAAUACCAAGUUCUGUA